CAGCCGCCGCGGUAAAACGUAGGGUGCAAGCGUUAAUCGGAAUUACUGGGCGUAAAGCGUGCGCAGGCGGUUAUAUAAGACAGAUGUGAAAUCCCCGGGCUCAACCUGUGAACUGCAUUUGUGACUGUAUAGCUAGAGUACGGCAGAGGGGGAUGGAAUUCCGCGUGUAGCAGUGAAAUGCGUAGAUAUGCGGAGGAACACCGAUGGCGAAGGCAAUCCCCUGGGCCUGUACUGACGCUCAUGCACGAAAGCGUGGGGAGCAAACAGGAUUAGAUACCCCUGUAGUCCCUGUCUCUUAUAC
rnacentral:rRNA from 1 species